GACGAACGCUGGCGGCGCGCUUAACACAUGCAAGUCGAGCGAGAACCAGGGCUUCGGCCCUGGGGACAGCGGCGAACGGGUGAGUAACACGUGGGUGAUCUGCCCUCGGCACCGGAAUAGCCCGGGGAAACCCGGAUUAAUGCCGGAUGGCCCCUUCACCUCGCGAGGGGUCGGGAAACGGUAGCUUCGGCCUCUGGCCGAGGAUUCGCCCGCGGCGGAUUAGCUUGUUGGCGGGGUAACGGCCCACCAAGGCGACGAUCCGUAGCUGGUCUGAGAGGACGAUCAGCCACACUGGGACUGAGGCACGGCCCAGACUCCUACGGGAGGCAGCAGUGGGGAAUCUUGCGCAAUGGGCGAAAGCCUGACGCAGCGACGCCGCGUGAGGGAAGACGGCCUUCGGGUUGUAAACCUCUUUCAGGAGGGACGAAGCUACUCGGGUGAAUAGCCCAGAGGGUGACGGUACCUCCAGAAGAAGCCCCGGCUAACUACGUGCCAGCCGCCGCGGUAAAAC
rnacentral:rRNA from 1 species